rnacentral:rRNA from 1 species
AAUGAACGCUGGUGGUGUGCCUAAUACAUGCAAGUCGUGCGAGAAGUUUACUUCUAGCGGCGAACGGGUGAGUAACACGUGUUUAAUCUACCCUUUUGUUUGGAAUAACAUUAAGAAAUUGAUGCUAAUACUGAAUAGGUAAUAUUGACUUCGGUUUUUAUUAUUAAAGAAGCGUUUGCUUCGCUAAAGGAUGAGAAUGCGCAGCAUUAGGUAGUUGGUAGAGUAAAAGCCUACCAAGCCAACGAUGCUUAGCCGGCCUGAGAGGGUGAACGGCCACACUGGAACUGAGACACGGUCCAGACUUCUACGGGGAGGCAGCAGUAGGGGGAAUAUUGGACAAUGGGCGCAAGCCUGAUCCAGUCAUGCCACGUGAGUGAUGAAGGUCUUAGGAUUGUAAAACUCUUUUAGCAGGGAAAAAAUGAUGGUACCUGCAGAAAAAGUCUCGGCUAACUUCGUGCCAGCCGCCGCGGUAAU